CUGUCACUUCUCCUCCAUUGUCAGAUCUAUCCCACCUGAUGUCUCAGCUGUUGUCAUUCCUUCUGCUCCCCCGCAGGCUAUGGAGCUGCCUGGUGCUUUAAAUGGAUGGACCAUAAAGCCUUUGUGAAGUUGCCUGUAUAUCCUUUAUGUUUCAUUCUUAGACAGAACCUCCCCUCAUGGCUGACAGAAGGCUGCAGCCUCUCAAGACUUCACACUGCCAGGACUUCAAGUCUGUUGGGGAGAAGGAGACCACUUGUCCUCAGCAUAUGAACAAAAGCCCCAAGUCUGGUUAUCAUUGGCUGAAUUGGGUCAUGUGCGCAUCCUGAAAUCAAUCACUUUGGGGCCCUGUCUUAUUGAGGAAGGCAGUGACGGAGAACGCCUGGCCUAUCACAUGACUGAUCUCCGCUGUCAUGAGCCAUCGUUCUCUAACUGCAAGCUUUCAUUUUCAAAGUCCUGGCAUGAUUUCAGGAGCUGUAAACCUUCAUGUGAGUAAGUGAGCAGUAAGAACUGGCAGUUUUUCAAACCCAAGUCUUUUCAGCUUUAAACCCACAUUUAGCUAUGAUGGGUUUUUUCCCACCUUAGUUUGGACAUUCUUUCUGGUGAAUACUUUUUUGAUAAAUAAAAUAGGGUGGAGGUGUAUUUGACCAGGACAAAUAUGGGCUGGUACAGUUAGGGCUAACAAUCGAAAGAUAGUCAUAACAGCCCCAACAUUAAUUCCAA